GCCCGGCCACAAGCGGUGGAGCAUGUGGUUUAAUUUCGAAGCAACGCGCAGAACCUUACCAGCUUUUGUACAUGUCCGGUUUGAUCGACAGAGAUGUCUUUCUUCAGUUCGGCUGGCCGGAACACAGGUGCUGCAUGGCUGUCGUCAGCUCGUGUCGUGAGAUGUUGGGUUAAGUCCCGCAACGAGCGCAACCCUCGCCCCUAGUUGCCAUCAUUCAGUUGGGAACUCUAGGGGGACUGCCGGUGAUAAGCCGCGAGGAAGGUGGGGAUGACGUCAAGUCCUCAUGGCCCUUACAGGCUGGGCUACACACGUGCUACAAUGGCGGUGACAAUGGGCAGCGAAAGGGCGACCUCGAGCUAAUCCCAAAAAGCCGUCUCAGUUCAGAUUGUACUCUGCAACUCGAGUACAUGAAGGUGGAAUCGCUAGUAA
rnacentral:rRNA from 1 species